rnacentral:rRNA from 4 species
ACGGGUGAGUAACACGUGGGAACGUGCCUUUAGGUUCGGAAUAACUCAGGGAAACUUGUGCUAAUACCGAAUGUGCCCUUCGGGGGAAAGAUUUAUCGCCUUUAGAGCGGCCCGCGUCUGAUUAGCUAGUUGGUGAGGUAAAGGCUCACCAAGGCGACGAUCAGUAGCUGGUCUGAGAGGAUGAUCAGCCACAUUGGGACUGAGACACGGCCCAAACUCCUACGGGAGGCAGCAGUGGGGAAUCUUGCGCAAUGGGCGAAAGCCUGACGCAGCCAUGCCGCGUGAAUGAUGAAGGUCUUAGGAUUGUAAAAUUCUUUCACCGGGGACGAUAAUGACGGUACCCGGAGAAGAAGCCCCGGCUAACUUCGUGCCAGCAGCCGCGGUAAUACGAAGGGGGCUAGCGUUGCUCGGAAUUACUGGGCGUAAAGGGAGCGUAGGCGGACAUUUAAGUCAGGGGUGAAAUCCCGGGGCUCAACCUCGGAAUUGCCUUUGAUACUGGGUGUCUUGAGUAUGAGAGAGGUGUGUGGAACUCCGAGUGUAGAGGUGAAAUUCGUAGA